rnacentral:rRNA from 1 species
UACGUAGGGUGCAAGCGUUAAUCGGAAUUACUGGGCGUAAAGCGUGCGCAGGCGGUUUUGUAAGUCUGUCGUGAAAUCCCCGGGCUCAACCUGGGAAUGGCGAUGGAGACUGCAAGGCUAGAGUUUGGCAGAGGGGGGUAGAAUUCCACGUGUAGCAGUGAAAUGCGUAGAUAUCGGGAGGAACACCGGUGGCGAAGGCGGCGAUCUGGGUAGAUACUGACGCUGAGGUGCGAAAGCGUGGGGAGCAAACAGG